CAGGAUGGCUGAGAGCUUGGGAUAACAGAGAGAGAACCCAUGAGGCAGCCACGGGAGGAAGGCAGAUGCCAGGCAAGACGAGGGUGGCAGAAGCGAGUCAGGAGGAAGUGGCUUUGUGAGCCAUCGACCUCACAGAGGGGGAGAAGCAGAAACGUAACCAAGCAAGGUGCAGAGCUAUUUUCAGCCUUGGGGUUUUCACCCCAGGGUCCCCAAAGUGCUUGGGGCAGAGUACAGCUCCCCUUUGAGAAAGUCGGUGCUCUGGACUGAUGAAAAGGACAAAAGAGAAGCCAGGUGAGAACAAGGAGAUUCAGGGGAUGCGGGGGUGGCACAUGUCCUCAGUGGAGCCUUGGGCUCCGGGCACCCACGCUCUGGGCCUCAGUUUUCUCACCUGCUCUCUGAGGUUCUGUGUGAGAUUCCUACAGUUUUGAGAAGUCAAAGUGUGGGCAGAACGGUUCCUUUCUGGAGGCUUUAGGGGAGAAUCUGUUUCCUCGCUUCUCCAGCCUUUAGAGGCCACCUGCAGUCCCUGGCUCACGGCCAUCUUCAAAGCCAGCGGUCGCAUCGCCCUGACCUCCGCCUCCAUCAACCAUCUCCUUGCUGACCCUGACCCUCCUGCCUCCCUCUCACAACGACUCCUGCGAUGACGUGGGGCUGUGAAAGGAAAAAUCUCUUGGGUCCCUUCAAGCUGGGAACUGCUCAGGGCAAAACUCCCUCCCAUUCUAUUCAAACUCAUCCCUCUGCUCACUGAGAUAGAUGCAUAUUCUGAUUGCCUCGCUUACCAGAAACUCAAAAGAAUGCAACCGGUUGUCUCUAAACUCAAAAGAAUGCAACCAGUUGUCUCACCUACCUGUGACCUGGAAACCCCUUUCCUGCUUGGAGCUGUCCCCGUCUUUCUGGAUGGAACCAGUGUACUUCUUACAUGUAUUGAUUGAUGUCUCAUGUCUCCCUAAAAUGUAUAAAACCAGGCUGUGCCCCGACCACCUUGGGCACAUGUCGUCAGGACUUCCCGAGGUCGUGUCACGGAUGCGCAUCCUUAACUUUGUCGAAUAAACCUCAUAAAGUGACGGACACGUGUCAUUUUUCUCGAUUGACAGGGCCAACCCGGAUAAUCCAGGCUGCUCUCCCCAACUCAAAGUCACAUCUGUAAUGUCCUUCGUGCCAUGAAAGGUCACAUAGUCACAGGUUGUUUCCUUGAACUCUCUAAGAGUCUCUGUAAUAGGAUGACCCUUCUACAAAACCCACUAUCAGUUACAGUG
rnacentral:lncRNA from 10 species